rnacentral:lncRNA from 1 species
CUUUUCCUCCCGGGCCGGAGCCGCGGCUGGGCCAGGAGCUCAGACUGCGAGCCCGAGGUUGGUGGGCGCUGGGGGUGCCCGGCGGAGAAAGGUUUUCUUUGUCAUUGCCUUUUUGGCACGGCCUGACUUUACCAUACGUGGCCGGUAAGCAUCUGGACACAGCAUUAAAAAGGCUUCCUUACUCUUUUUAAAGUAAAAUUG